rnacentral:sRNA from 1 species
UUGCAAAGGUUCAGGCAGACGAGCAAUUUGGCAUCUGGCUGGACAGCAGCUCCCCGGAGCAGACCGUGCCCUACCUCUGGAGUGAAGAAACACCUGCAAGUAAGCCCCGCUGUGGUUUUCUUUCUGGACCUGAAUGUAAAGUUGGGUUUUGCUACUUAAAGGGAUGCUUUCAAGAAACACAGUUUCUAGCCUGGGCAACAUAGUGAAGCCCCAUCUCUACAAAAAAUAAAACCUUAGCCAGGCAUGGCGGUGCACACCUGUAGUCCCAUCUACUUGGGAGGCUAAAGCAGGAAAGUCACUUGAGCCUGGGAGGUCGAGGUUAUGUGAGCUGUGAUUGCGCCACUGCACUCCAGCCUGGGCAGCAGACAGAGGCCUGUCUCUGAAUGAAUGGUCACUGAUUCCCAAGAUAAGUAUUUCAGUGUUAAAACUUUUUAAGGAAACCACUUAGGGAGAUCGCUUCUAGGUAGGUGUUGGCUUAGAAGUAAAUCAGAAAUUUCCAAUUCCUAUUCAUCUCAUGCUUCAAGACCACAAGAGAACUAGAUGGGGAGCUCC